rnacentral:rRNA from 1 species
GACAGAGGGGGCAAGCGUUGCUCGGAAUUACUGGGCGUAAAGGGCGCGUAGGCGGGAUGGUAAGUCGGUCGUGAAAUCCCUCGGCUCAACCGAGGAACGUCGAUCGAUACUACCGUUCUUGAGGAUUGCAGAGGAGACUGGAAUUCCCGGUGUAGCGGUGAAAUGUGUAGAGAUCGGGAGGAACACCGGUGGCGAAGGCGGGUCUCUGGGCAAUUCCUGACGCUGAGGCGCGAAAGCGUGGGGAGCAAACAGG